UUGUCUUUUGUCGUUUUCCAUUUAUUGCCGUAGCAUUGUCCGUUCAUUUUUGACAGUCAUGUGCGUUUGACUUUAAAUAAUCCUUUUGAUAUCCUUACUUUUUAUUUUAUAAUAUCUGUUUUAUAACAUUUUCGUUCAUAACUGGUUUUAAAAACCAGAAGCUUUCGUUUAAAAUAGAGUUUUAAUAUUAUUGCAGAAGAAUGAGAAGAUGAUAAUGGAUUCAUUCAAAUUCAUAUUUGAUAAAUUCUGCGCAAUAGAAAAAUGUACAAGGGUGUACCUGAAAUAAAUUUAAAGAUUAUGACUAAGUUACCAAUAUUGUACAGCAUAAUAAACCCGUUUUAAUUCGAAUUACACCAAGAGGGACAUUUCCGAUGAUUAAAAAAAUAAUAAGUAAAAUCUGUCAAGUUUCAUUAAAAACGGAAAACAAUUCUUCACCGUAAACGAUUUAUCCACUUUAAUUUUUUGUCGGCAAAAAAACAAAAAAACCGGGACCUCAGGUCGGCAAACUAUAUUUUUACACAGGUAACUACAGAUGUUAGACCACAUAUGUUCAAUAAUCUGAGCUGGAAAAUACAAUCGAAUCAUACUGAAUAUGUAUUGGUUUGACCAUGAUUCCCACUUUAAUAGAAUAUGACACCUGCUAGUACAUGUGCACUUUGAUGCAUAGAAAAUAUAGAUGUCACUGAGUCGCUGUAUAGCUGCAAAUUGUGAAACAAUGGAUUAAUUCAUUAUUUAAUGCUAGUUAUCUAUUGUUUUUGGAAAUUAUGAAUAUGGCGUGCAGCAUUAUUCAAUGAUGAUAAUGUGAUGUUCUGAUUAAAUUGGACAAGAAGAAAAUUGUGCCUUGUACAAAUAGGAAAAUUACAAAUUGUAUUAAAGGAGGACCACAUUACUGGAGGACUAAAUACCUUGGAUUAUCAUGAUCAAUUGUGAAUUUGGAAUAACAAAAUUUCGUAGUUGCAGUGAAUAUUAAUAGUGCAAUCAUACAUGUACAUUAUUUCUGAAUUCCAUGAAUACCCAGGAUAACUAUUCAUUUGAAAUAGCAAUUUGGAAUAAUGAAAAUGCAUAGUUUCAGUGAAUACUACUAAUAAUAGUGCAUCAUAUCUGAAUUCAUGAAUACUUUAAAUUAGUGGAUAAUCAGUCAUUUUAAUAUAAUCAUGAUAAUAACAAUAUGGAUAAUGUGAAUUUCUAGUUUCAGUGAAAUUAACAAAACAGUACAUGUAUAUCACAUCUGAAGUUUAUGUUGGCAUUGCAAUUGUUUACUACCGCCAGCAUGUCCAGGGUGUGUAAAAAGAUCUUAACCAACUAUGAGGGUCUCGUGCAGUCCGUGUCAAUUGUUUAGAGUCAAAUGACUGCUUGCUGUACUUAAAUUAUUAAAGUCUGAAUUAGAAUUAAAUAAAAAUCUUAAUUAG